AUGGUGUCGCUGGCCGCUGCGGCCGCCGCACUGUACGCGCGCAUGGCCUCGUCCGUCUCACGCCCCGGUCUCCCGCGCCUCGUCGCACUGCUCCCGCUCUUCCCGUUCCUCGCCGCCGCUCCCCUGGCCUUGACUUCCUCCGUCAUCGUCCGGGCCACCGCCGCCUUCUUCCUGGCCUGGCUCUGCGUGUUCAAGCUCGCCCUCCUCGCCGCCGGCCGCGGCCCGCUCGACCCCGCGCUCCCCGUGCUCCCGUUCCUCAUCACCGCGCUGCUCCCCGUCAAGCUCCGCGGUGCUGCCGGAGCAGCGGCGCUGACCAAGGCCAGCAAGCCGGUGUCGCUCGUUUCUUGCGCGGCCAAGGUCGCCGUCAUAGCCGCCAUCCUCAGCAUCUACCCGUACAACUCUCGGCUGCACCCCUACGCGCGCCGGGCCGUGUACGGCGUCCACAUAUACUGCUUCCUGGACCUCUUCUUCCCCUGCAUCGCGGCGGCCGCCGGCGCGCUCGGCAUGGAGACGGAGCCGCAGUUCGACCGGCCCUACCUGGCCUCCUCGCUGCGGGACUUCUGGGGCCGGCGGUGGAACCUCAUGGUGUCGGCCAUCCUCCGGCCGUCGGUGUACGACCCCGUGCGCGCGCGCGCCGGGAGCCCCGCCGGCGUGCUGGCCACCUUCCUGGUGUCCGGGCUGAUGCACGAGGGCAUGGUGUACUACCUCAGCCUCCGGCGCCCGGACGGCGGGAUGACCGCCUUCUUCCUGCUCCACGGCGCUUGCUGCGUCGCCGAGGGCUGGUGCGCGCGGCGGUGGGCGGCGAGGGGGUGGCCGUCGCCGCCGCGGGCCGUGGCGACGGUGCUGGUGGUGGUGUUCGUCGCGGGCACGUCGUUCUGGCUCUUCUUCCCGCCGCUGUGCAAGGACGGAGGCGAGGAGAAGCUGCUGGAGGAGUGGGCUGCCGUGGCGGCCUUCUUCCUCGACGCCGGCAGAAAGAUUAAUGGCAUUGUACGUUCAACGGACUAA
rnacentral:rRNA from 1 species